rnacentral:rRNA from 1 species
AGAGUUUGAUCCUGGCUCAGAACGAACGCUGGCGGCGUGGAUAAGACAUGCAAGUCGAGCGAGAUUUUUUCCUGUAGCAAUACAGGGAAAAGUCUAGCGGCGAACGGGUGCUUAACACGUGGGCAAUCUGUCUUAAAGUGGGGGAUAGCUCGGCGAAAGCCGAAUUAAUACCGCAUGUGGUUAGAGUGGACAUCCAUUCAAAAUCAAAGGUGGCGCAAGCUACCGCUUUUUGAGGAGCCCGCGGCCUAUCAGCUAGUUGGUGAGGUAACGGCUCACCAAGGCUUUGACGGGUAGCUGGUCUGAGAGGACGACCAGCCACACUGGGACUGAGACACGGCCCAGACACCUACGGGUGGCAGCAGUCGAGAAUUUUUCUCAAUGGGGGAAACCCUGAAGGAGCGACGCCGCGUGGAGGAUGAAGGUCUUCGGAUUGUAAACUCCUGUCAUUGGGGAACAAGGUGCAUACGUUAACUGCGUGUGCAUUGAUAGUACCCGAAGAGGAAGAGACGGCUAACUCUGUGCCAGCAGCCGCGGUAAUACAGAGGUCUCAAGCGUUGUUCGGAUUCAUUGGGCGUAAAGGGUGCGUAGGCGGCGCGAUAAGUCGGGUGUGAAAUCUUGGAGCUUAACUCCGAAACUGCAUUCGAUACUGCCGUGCUUGAGGACUGGAGAGGAGACUGGAAUUUACGGUGUAGCGGUGAAAUGCGUAGAUAUCGUAAGGAAGACCAGUGGCGAAGGCGGGUCUCUGGACAGUUCCUGACGCUGAGGCACGAAGGCCAGGGGAGCAAACGGGAUUAGAUACCCNNGUAGUCC